rnacentral:lncRNA from 1 species
GUUUGAGAACCGUUUCCCAUCUCCUCUGUCUUCUCAGCUGCUUUGAGCACAAUAAUAAGAAGCCUCAGGCUAGGGUGGAGGGCGUGUGCCAAGAACAGGGCUUGGCAUGAGGCCCAUGGCUUCUGAGGCUGCCCAGUCAGUGAAGUUAGAGGAAUAGCAGGGAGCGAGGCCUAUGUCUUCUGAUCCCCUCAACCCAGCUCCUGAGCUGCUCAGGAGUCCCACGAAACCCUGAACAGGAAGUCUGCACCCCCAUGCAGAAUGCAUUGCCAGAGCUGUUGGAGUCAGAGCCUGGGUUUCUGCAGCCUUAACAAGCCAAGUUUGGUCUUCCGUCUUCAGUAAGACCAACUGAAGAGUCAAGCAAUAGUGGAAAGCAGAGACAGGAGGUUCGGUUUAUUCUCUGUGGGAAGAGGACGGAGGUCCAGCAAUCCUCCAAGUUACUUCAGGGUCCUUUCAGUGUAAAUAAAGAGCAAGAGGUG